AUAAAUAAAGCUGCAAAACUUAUUUUAGCAGGAUAUAUACUAAUGACAUGUUAACGUUACUGCAAAAAUAUGUGAUACAAAUAUGUAAUGAAAAAAAUAAUACUUACGAUGACUUAAUUACAUUUUAAAUUUAAUUAUAUCACUAUGAUAAUUUUCGUAACCGUAUCAGUGACCCUGGUAUUUUUAAUAUUCAUGAUAAUGACGCAAUCUAUGAUACUGAAGCCGCACAGUUUAAAGUUAUAAUUAGUAAUAACACAAUGAAAUUUACAUAAGAAAAAAUAAUGUUCAUAGUGGGCACCGAGCUGCCACAACCUACCGUACGAUCCACCAAUACCCACUACCAAACGCUUCUACAGAAAUAUGUACGAAACAAUACCCUGAAUGUAUCCACGGAAACUAUUUAAAUCGUUAUUUUAAAAGCGAUUCUUUCUUGGUUGACGAAUUGACAUCAACAAAGACAUUUAACUGCCUUGACGGACACGUUCAAUAAGGCCACAUCCACACAACAUUGGGUUGGCUGACAUUACGAAAGUACCCGGAUGGAUCCGUAGGGAAACUACGUCAUUGUUCACCGCCGGGCGCUCUUUGGAUUUUAGAAUGGAUGAACUCAUUUAAAUUAAUCAAAAAUGUACAGAAAAUGAAUAAUGACCAUAGUUGACAAACCUCCAGAGAAAUCUGACCUGGAGUCAGUGCGGUGCAAGCACUCCAGCUCCCUGACACCUUUCUCCUCCAGAGAUAUGGAGAGCAGUAGCUCGAGCUGGAGUGUUGGCCCAUCUGCCACUGAGGUUUCAGGGGCCAAGACUGCCUGUAUGGCCCCGACCAUUGGAGUGAACGGUAGUAAUAACGCAGCGCUUCAAGUCGAAAGGCCCAGAGAGCAAGUGGUCAUGACCAGUGGGGAUGGCAUUGCUCUGCCUCAGAAAGUCCUGUUUUCCCCAGAACGGCUUUGUUUGAAAUGGAACCAGGGCCACCGCGUUGGAGCAGGUCUCCAUAACCUGGGCAACACAUGUUUCCUGAACUCUACCCUGCAGUGUCUGACCUAUACGGCUCCCCUUGCCAACUACAUGCUGACCAGAGAGCAUUCCAAAACAUGUCAUGAGCCUGGGUUUUGCAUGAUGUGUACCAUGCAAAAUCACAUCAUCCAAGUGUUCGCCAACUCUGGAAAUGUCAUUAAGCCUAUCAAUGUGCUUAAUGAGCUAAAACGGAUUGGAAAGCAUUUCAGAUUUGGAAGUCAAGAAGAUGCUCAUGAGUUCUUGAGGUACACAGUGGAUGCUAUGCAAAAGUCCUGCCUGCCUGGAAACAAAUUGGACAGGCAAACUCAGGCAACCACUUUUGUGCAUCAGAUAUUUGGGGGUUAUCUGAGAUCCAGAGUCAAAUGUUUGAAUUGCAAAGCAGUUUCUGAUACUUUUGACCCAUUCCUGGAUAUUUCACUGGAGAUAAAGACUGCUCAGACACUCAGUAAGGCUUUUGAGCAAUUUGUUAAGCCUGAGCAACUUGAUGGGGACAAUGCUUAUAAAUGCUCCAAAUGUAAGAAAAUGGUUACCGCCUCAAAGAGAUUCACCGUUCAUCGCAGUUCUAAUGUUCUCACCAUCUCAUUGAAGCGGUUUACCAACUUCAGUGGAGGAAAAAUUACGAAGGAUGUGAGAUACACAGAGUAUCUAGAUUUGCGACCAUUCAUGUCUCAGUCUCAUGGGGAUCCACAGAUCUAUGCUCUGUAUGCUGUGCUGGUUCACUCUGGCUUCAGUUGCCAUGCUGGACACUAUUACUGCUACAUUAAGGCUAGCAAUGGGCAGUGGUAUCAGAUGAACGACUCAUCGGUUUCUCUCAGUGACAUAAGGACAGUACUUAAUCAGCAAGCUUAUUUGCUGUUCUACAUCAGGUCCUCUGAUGCAAAAAAUGGAAGUUAUUUUACCCAGAUGAGUCAUCCUCCAGGCCAAUCAUCUCCUCGACCAUCCAUUCCAGUCAAGAUGAAUGGGCCUCAGUACACCUCCACAUCCUUCAUUGGCCCUCAGCUGCCACCUCAUAUGCUAAAGAACUCAUUGUUCAUAAACGGGAAUGGUUCUUCAAAGGAACACCAUGGUGGCUCCAAACCCAACAAAAGUUUUUAUGGUGUGACCAAAUUAGGCUCUGGCCUAUCUCAUACGUCGUCUUCUGCAUCCGCAUCCUCUUCUACUUCACUUGUUCGGCCCAUGGGCAUUCCUGAUUCAUCCAAGAGACCGAAGUUGACUUUUACCAUUAGUCAGAACAAACCUAUUAGACCUACUCAGACCCAGUCAAGCCCUAACUGCUCUUUAUCUUCAGCCUCUCACCCUCAGCCCACAUCUUCCAGUACCUCAGUGUCUACCUCAGGCUUCUCACAGGUCAAUGGAAAUUGCACUCGAGCUUCUUUCUUGGUUCCUUAUGGUCAGGAAUCAUCUGAGGAAUCCGACCAAGAGGCUGGAGCCUUGGAGAAUGGAUCAGUUAAGCCUUAUCUUGCUGCCAAGGUAACCAAUGGGAUAAAGGAUGACACCCAGUCCCACAAUUCCAGUUCACCGCCUCAGCUUACCCUGAAGACAAAUGGAUCUAAUGGCUUUUCAGAGCUACAUGUGCGUGAAAAUGGAUCAGGACCUGCCCACAAACCCCAAAAUGGCCUUCCCAAAGCCAAUGGUUUUUAUCAUGUUGAUAAGGUUGUGGGUGCACCUCAUUCUUCAUCACAGACUGCUAAUCAGUCUAACAAUUCAGACAUGCAAUCCAGCUUAAAGCCUGGAAACAGUGAGUCAAGCAGCUCCAAACCAUCAAGUACUGUUGGCCAGCCAUGUUUCUCACCUUCAAGUAAAAGGAUGAACCCUUCUUCAGAGUCUUCUCAGUUUGCUACAAAGGUACAGUCUGCAUCUUCAUCUGAUGUAUCAUUGGUCUCAAAGACUGCGGACACUGAUCUUCAUGCCCAGACCGCUUCAAAAGAUGAGCCAAUUCAGGGCCAUGAUACCCAUGCAGAGGCUGGCAUGUCAGGUCUUCAGGGCAACAAUAGUCUCAGCCUCCAUGUUGGUGAUGGUUACACAAGUCCACACAGGUUAAAGGAAGAGUUUAGGUGCAGUGAAGGAGAAAGCAAAGAGUCAAAGCCAUCACACUUAGACAAGUUUGGCUCUGGAGAUAGACGGAGUGAGGACCGGAAUAGGGUCUUAGAUCGCCCACACUUUUCUUCAACUGUCAAAGAUAGGGACCGGUACAGACACUAUAGGGAAUACAACGAAAGAAGCCGAAGUCGCUAUGGUCAUAGCUAUCACGGUCCUCGUCCCUUUAGAGAGCGUUCCACCAGUAGAGACCGGCAUCACAGAGAUCACUGGGACAGAUUCUCACAUCACCGUCGAGAGCACCACCAUUCCCAAAGAAGACCCAGAGAGGAACGGGACCGAAGUAGAGAUAGGAGAUUUGUGAGUGACUCUUAUCGUCCUUCUGGACAUAACCGGGAUGGAUAUUCCAGUCAUAGCCAUCGUGGGGUGGAUGGUGGCUUUGGAAGGAUGUCCCAUACAGUGAAUGGUUCAAAAGUAAGACCCUCAUCUCCACGUUCUGUCAGCCCACUGCCAGGACAUUACAAGCGGAAACGCAGUCCAUCAGCUGAUGCAAGACAAAGCUCUGAUGAGUGCAGAGUGAAGAAAUACAAAAAGAAAAAGAGAAACAAAGAAAAGCACAGGCACUCAGAGAAGGACCCAUCUGAGGGCAUUGAGGAUAGCAGCUUCAAGAGACAUAAAAAGAAGAAAAAGAAAAAGAAGAGGAGGGAGGAUGAGGAGAGGCCUCAUACUAGGAGAGAUGUCACUCCGAGGCGGGAAGAGCAAGAUUCUAGAACUAGGAAUGGUGCAGAGAAAGGAAGUCUGCACCACAGCUCUGAGUCUCUUUACAAUGUCCACCGAGACCAUAUGGAGGACCAGCAACAGCUCAAUGGACACAAAGCUAAUGGCCUGGGCUGUUACAGUGGAAGUGGAAUUGAGCACACUGGGAUGGAUAAAGACAAAUACAAAUAUUCUGAUCAUUCUACCAGUAUCAACGGCACAAAGAAACUCUCAAAUGGAAAUGGAGAUGUGGACGGGGUUUGUCACAGGACCCUUACAGAUGUUGAAUUGCACUGACUGAUCUCUGGUUUUCACAGAAAGCCACACAUCCUCACUAAAGGGAAGGUGAUUUCUUGAUCACACCUAAGACUCUGAAAACCUCCCAUGCAAGCAUGUGAAAAACAAAAUCUACAGCUACAGUCCCUGACAUGGUGCUUAACAUUUAGAACAUAUUGUAUUUUUACCACGAGAUGAUUUUUAAAGUUUCAUUAUUUUGUCUUUUUCGUUUUUCUUUAUUUUUAAGGCUAUGGAUUUUUAAGUACACUGUACAUAAAUGAACUUUUGAUCAUGGAAAAAAAAAGAAUUCUAUAUGAAGUUAAUAUAUGCGAUUAAAACAAAAGCCUGGAGCUUAACAUCAGAAUUGCUGCUCAGACAUACAGACUCAGGAUUUUCUCACUUGUGAAGAUGAGACAAGCGCUCCCUUUAAGGAAUCGAACUUGGGAACGAAAAGAACAUUUAUAUGCUGCAUCGGCGGAGAAAGACUGCUUGUCUCUUGGCUUCAAGUUAUGAUGUCACCAUUUUCACAUAUCGGUUGAGAGAACGGUCUCAAAGGAGCAGCCUUUGCUAAUGCUACAUGUGCACUUACAUCACAGUUAACCUGGACACACUUGAGGACAUAAGAUGUUUGCUUUGCUGUCUCUUGUACCUCUCUUUUUAGCAUCUCACUGUAUUACUCUCUCUGAAAUUCCUCAAACCUAUCUAGAAUGCAAGUUCAUUGCAUCUUUUUUGUUUUUAAUUUUCAUUGUUUUGUUUUCUUGAAUCCACUUUGAUUUUAGACAAGAUAAUACUGUGAAUUUAAGUUGAACUGUACUAUCAGUUGUUUGUUUUUGGUCCUGUAUCAGGAGUUCAAUAGAGACACUUUCUGUAAAGCCACUCGUAAUGUAGACCAUAUUCUCUGAACAUUUGUCAACUUUUUUUUUUUUCUUCUUCUUCAGCAAAAUGAAACAGACAUGAAAAUGGUUAUUCAGCUUCAUUUUACUGUAGCAUGUCAAAGAAAAUGUAUACAGUGUACAAUAUGUUGAGUGAGAGGAAACGGCCUUAAUGUCUGAAAUUGUAAUUUUUCUCUCACUAUGUUUACAAAGUUUUGUUGGAGUGAAUGAACUUAUGUGAAGAUGGGAAGUGUUUGGUUUUGUAAAGGGCGGGGUUUCCUUUUUACAUAUAAAGAAUGACUUGUGAGAUUUGUUUUGUUCUGUGAAAAAUAUCUUAGUUGAUGUCAAAGUGCAGCACUUAUAGUUUCAGCUAUAUUUCAGUAAUCGUAACAGCUUAAGACAGACUUUAAUUUGCCUUUGCCCUAUACACCAGCAAACCAUGCUGUAAUGGUCAUUUAUUUACAUCUAAAAUACGACAAAAAAAAA